rnacentral:tRNA from 1 species
CGGGAUGUGGCGCAGCCCGGUAGCGUACUUGCUUCGGGAGCAAGGGGUCGCCAGUUCGAAUCUGGCCAUCCCGACCA